rnacentral:miRNA from 2 species
UGAGGGAGUUGGGUGUAUA